rnacentral:rRNA from 1 species
AAACAACUCUCAACAACGGAUAUCUUGGCUCUUGCAACGAUGAACAACGCAGCGAAAUGCGAUACGUAAUGUGAAUUGCAAAAUUCCGAGAAUCAUCGAGUCUUUGAACGCAAGUUGCGCCCGAGGCUUGACCCAGGGCAUUUGUGCCAGAGCGUCACC